rnacentral:lncRNA from 1 species
CCGGCCCUUUCAACUCUCCCGAAUCUAAGCCAACAGUCAAGGUACUAUGAAGACGUCAGGCGUAUGGAAAUAACAGAUGGGAAAGGCGAGCAGAGAUCAUUACUCUGAACUGUCUUGGAUGUCCCUGGGCAAUGCUAAGCUAACAUUCAGCAGUGUCUACAAGAUGACACACAACAUGUUGAAAGAAUGGAGCGGUGAUUCCCUUGGAAGGAUGUGAAAAGCUUUCCAAUCUCGAGGUGAUAUCAGAGCUCUUUCCCAUUGAAACACUUGGAUGCUCUUUCUCCAGCUAUCAUGCUCUCUUUUUUCCACUCAAGGUGAUGCCUAAAUGAACGUGUGUCCA